CAGCAGCCACGGUAACACGUAGGUGGCAAGCGUUGUCCGGAAUUAUUGGGCGUAAAGGGCUCGCAGGCGGUUUCUUAAGUCUGAUGUGAAAGCCCCCGGCUCAACCGGGGAGGGUCAUUGGAAACUGGGAAACUUGAGUGCAGAAGAGGAGAGUGGAAUUCCACGUGUAGCGGUGAAAUGCGUAGAGAUGUGGAGGAACACCAGUGGCGAAGGCGACUCUCUGGUCUGUAACUGACGCUGAGGAGCGAAAGCGUGGGGAGCGAACAGGAUUAGAUACCCCGGUAGUCCCUGUCUCUUAUAA
rnacentral:rRNA from 1 species